rnacentral:tRNA from 1 species
UAAAAGAUGGCUGAAUUUUAGGUGGUAGAUUGUAAAUCUAUUAAUGGGUUAGAACCCUCUUUUAA